rnacentral:rRNA from 1 species
AGUGAACGCUGGCGGUAGGCCUAACACAUGCAAGUCGAACGGCAGCACAGUAAGAGCUUGCUCUUACGGGUGGCGAGUGGCGGACGGGUGAGGAAUACAUCGGAAUCUACUUUUUCGUGGGGGAUAACGUAGGGAGACUUACGCUAAUACCGCAUACGACCUACGGGUGAAAGCAGGGGAUCUUCGGACCUUGCGCGAUUGAAUGAGCCGAUGUCGGAUUAGCUAGUUGGCGGGGUAAAGGCCCACCAAGGCGACGAUCCGUAGCUGGUCUGAGAGGAUGAUCAGCUACACUGGAACUGAGACACGGUCCAGACUCCUACGGGAGGCAGCAGUGGGGAAUAUUGGACAAUGGGCGCAAGCCUGAUCCAGCCAUACCGCGUGGGUGAAGAAGGCCUUCGGGUUGUAAAGCCCUUUUGUUGGGAAAGAAAAGCAGCAGGUUAAUACCCCGCUGUUCUGACGGUACCCAAAGAAUAAGCACCGGCUAACUUCGUG